rnacentral:rRNA from 1 species
UACGGGGGGUGCUAGCGUUGUUCGGAAUCACUGGGCGUAAAGCGCGUGUAGGCGGCAAGGUAAGUCAGAUGUGAAAGCCCACGGCUCAACUGUGGAUGUGCAUUUGAAACUGCCUAGCUAGAGUGCGGGAGGGGGAAGGGGAAUUCCCGGUGUAGAGGUGAAAUUCGUAGAUAUCGGGAGGAAUACCGGUGGCGAAGGCGCCUUCCUGGACCGACACUGACGCUGAGACGCGAAAGCGUGGGGAGCAAACAGGAUUAGAUACCCUGGUAGUCCACGCCGUAAACGAUGAGAACUAGGUGUUGUGGGUAUCGACCCCUACAGUGCCGUAGCUAACGCGUUAAGUUCUCCGCCUGGGGAGUACGGCCGCAAGGUUAAA